GACGAACGCUGGCGGCGUGCUUAACACAUGCAAGUCGAACGGAAAGGCCCUGCUUUUGUUGGGUGCUCGAGUGGCGAACGGGUGAGUAACACGUGAGUAACCUGCCCUUGACUUUGGGAUAACUUCAGGAAACUGGGGCUAAUACCGGAUAGGAGCUCCUGCUGCAUGGUGGGGGUUGGAAAGUUUCGGCGGUUGGGGAUGGACUCGCGGCUUAUCAGCUUGUUGGUGGGGUAGUGGCUUACCAAGGCUUUGACGGGUAGCCGGCCUGAGAGGGUUACCGGCCACAUUGGGACUGAGAUACGGCCCAGACUCCUACGGGAGGCAGCAGUGGGGAAUAUUGCACAAUGGGCGGAAGCCUGAUGCAGCAACGCCGCGUGCGGGAUGACGGCCUUCUGGUUGUAAACCGCUUUCGCCUGUGACGAAGCGUGAGUGACGGUAAUGGGUAAAGAAGCACCGGCUAACUACGUG
rnacentral:rRNA from 1 species